rnacentral:rRNA from 1 species
AUGUUCGGCUGCUCGCGGAGCGCCGAGGACACGCGCGUCUCCGCCGACGCCUUGCGGGCAAUCUGCCGAACGGGUGCCGCGCGCCACGCGCUGUCCCCGGCCUGCUACAACUUCGCGCUCAGGUCGCUCGCGCGCUUCGACAUGACGGAGGAGAUGGAGAGGGUCUACUCGCAGCUCGUCGGGGACGGGCUGCUGCCGGACACCAAGACGUACAACGCCAUGAUUAAGUCCUACUGCAAGGAGGGUGACCUCCCCAAGGCGCACCGGUACUUCAAGCUGUUGCUGGAGUGUGGGCUGGAGCCGGACACGUUCACAUGUAACGCGCUGGUGCUGGGUUACUGCCGGACGGGCAACCUGAGGCGGGCCUGCUGGCUGUUGCUGAUGAUGCCGCUGGUCGGUUGCCAGAGAAAUGAGUACUCCUACACCAUUUUGAUUCAGGGCCUGUGCGAGGCGCGGCGUGUAAGGGAGGCACUCGUGCUGUUUUUGAUGAUGAGGGGUGAUGGGUGCUCCCCAAAUUCACACACAUACAUGUUCCUGAUCGGCGGCCUAUGUAAGGAGGGCAGGGUUGCUGACGCCAGGAUGUUGCUUGAUGAGAUGUCUCGGGGAGGUGUUGCUCCAAGUGUUAUGACAUAUAAUGCAAUGAUCGUAGGCUACUGUAAGGCAGGAAGGAUGCAGGAUGCAUUGGGGAUUAAGGAGCUGAUGGAAGGAAAUGGGUGCCACCCGAAUGAUUGGACAUACGGCACUUUAAUUCAUGGCCUCUGUGAUGGGAAGAUGGAUGAAGCUGAGCAAUUGCUGGAUAGUGCUGUUAAAGGAGGUUUUACACCUACGGUUGUCACAUUCACUAUCCUGAUCGAUGGGUACUGCAAAGCUGAAAGGAUUGAUGAUGCACUCAGGGUGAAAAAUAAUAUGAUGCUGAGUAAGUGUAAACUUGAUAUACAUGUUUAUGGGAAGUUGAUCAAUAGCCUCAUUAAGAAGGAUAGGUUAAAAGAGGCGAAGGAGUUGUUAGCUGAAAUUUCGGCAACUGGUUUGGUUCCAAAUGUGUUCACCUACACAUCUGUAAUUGAUGGCUUUUGCAAGAUUGGGAAGGUUGAUUUCGCACUAGAGGUCUUGAAAAUGAUGGAACGCGAUGAUUGCCAGCCAAAUACAUGGACCUACAACUCUCUGAUGUAUGGGUUAAUUCAGGAUAAGAAACUUCACAACGCAAUGGCGCUGAUAACUAAAAUGCAAAAAGAUGGAAUACUUCCCAACGUUAUCACCUAUACCGCUUUGGUUCAAGGCCAGUGCAAUCAGCAUGAAUUUGAUAAUGCUUUCAGGUUACUUGAAAUGAUGGAGCAGAAUGAUCUGACACCCGAUGACCAAUUAUACGGCAUCUUAACUGGUGCACUGUGCAAAGCUGGAAGGGCUGAAGAAGCUUAUUCAUUUCUUGUUAGAAAAGGAGUAGCCCUAACCAAGAUACUCUAUACUAUUUUAAUUGAUGGGUUCAGCAAGGCAGGCAAAAGUGACAUUGCCGCCACCCUCUUAGACAGCAUGAUUGGUGAGGGCUGCACACCAGAUUCGUACACGUAUAGUGUACUGCUGCAUGCUUUAUGCAAAGAAAAGAAGCUGCAGGAAGCUUUGCCGAUACUGGAUCAAAUGACUCAAAGGGGAAUAAAAUGUACCAUUUUUGCUUAUACAACUCUAAUCAACGAAAUGCUCAGAGAAGGGAAGCAUGACCAUGCUAAAAGGAUGUACGAUGAAAUGGUUUCAUCAGGUCACAAGCCAAGUGCAACCACAUAUACUGUAUUCAUUAACUCAUUCUGCAAGGAAGGUCGAGUGGAGGAGGCUGAGAACUUAAUUGUGGAAAUGGAGAGAGAAGGUGUUGCCCGUGAUGCAGUGACCUACAACACAUUCAUUGAUGGCUGUGGGAAUAUGGGAUAUAUUGAUCGUGCAUUUCAUACUCUGAAGCGCAUGAUGGAUGCAUCAUGUGAGCCAGAUUAUGCGACCUACUGCAUUCUGCUCAAGCAUCUUCUAAAAGAGAAUUUUAAUUUCCGUUAUGCAGACACCUCCGGCAUGUGGAACUUCAUAGAGUUGGAUACUGUUUGGCAGUUUCUUGAAAGGAUAUCAAAACAUGGUUUGAAUCCCACAAUAACGACAUACAGUUCUCUCAUUGCAGGAUUCUGCAAAGCCAACCGCAUUGAAGAAUCAUGUAUUCUUUUUGAUCAUAUGUGCAGUAAAGAUAUACCACCUAAUGAAGAGAUAUACAAAUUACUUAUCAAGUGCUGUUGUGAUACCAAGUCCUUUGAGAAGGCCUCUUCAUUUGUGCACAACAUGAUACAACACAGGUUUCAGCCUCAUCUUGAAUCAUACCAGCUUCUUAUACUGGGACUUUGUAACGAGGGAGAAUUUGAGAAGGCUAAAUCACUGUUCUGUGACUUGCUUGAACUGGGCUAUAAUCAUGAUGAAGUUGCAUGGAAAAUUCUAAAUGAUGGUUUGCUCAAAGGUGGUUAUGUUGAUAUAUGUUCUCAGAUGCUGUCUACCAUGGAGAAUAAACACUGUUCCAUAAGUUCUCAGACACAUGCUAUGGUGACCAAUGGCUUGCAUGAGGCAUCUGGCAGUCUGGUUGGUGAACUCCGAGGAGAAGCUCUUUGA